AUACGUAGGGUGCAAGCGUUAAUCGGAAUUACUGGGCGUAAAGCGUGCGCAGGCGGUUUUGUAAGACAGUGGUGAAAUCCCCGGGCUCAACCUGGGAACUGCCAUUGUGACUGCAAGGCUGGAGUGCGGCAGAGGGGGAUGGAAUUCCGCGUGUAGCAGUGAAAUGCGUAGAUAUGCGGAGGAACACCGAUGGCGAAGGCAAUCCCCUGGGCCUGCACUGACGCUCAUGCACGAAAGCGUGGGGAGCAAACAGGAUUAGAUACCCUGGUAGUCCACGCCCUAAACGAUGUCAACUGGUUGUUGGGGAUUUAUUUUCUCAGUAACGAAGCUAACGCGUGAAGUUGACCGCCUGGGGAGUACGACCGCAAGGUUGAAACUCAAAUGAAUUGACGGGG
rnacentral:rRNA from 1 species